rnacentral:rRNA from 1 species
CCUACGGGCGGCAGCAGUGGGGAAUAUUGCGCAAUGGGGGAAACCCUGACGCAGCAACGCCGCGUGAGUGAGGAAGUCUCUCGGUAUGUAAAGCUCUAUUAGCGGGGAAGAAAGAGGAGGGUAUCCGACUAAGAUGCACCGGCUAACGACGUGCCAGCAGCCGCGGUAAUACGUAGGGGGCGAGGGUUAUCCGGGUUUACUGGGUGUAUAGGGAGCGUAGACGGGGUAGCAAGUCUGAAGUGAAAGCCCGGGGCUCAACCGCGGAACCGCGUUUGAAACUGCGAGGCUGGAGUGCUGGAGAGGUAAGCGGAAUUCCGGGUGUAGCGGUGAAAUGCGUAGAUAUCAGGAGGAACACCGGUGGCGAAGGCGGCUUACUGGACAGUAACUGACGUUGAGGCUCGAAAGCGUGGGGAGCAAACAGGAUUAGACACCCCAGUAGUC